UGUAUUAAACAAAUCAAUAAAUAUUAAUAAUGCCGAAUAAGAAAUAUAAACAAUAAUAUCAUAUAGCUACACAAUACAUAAUACUAAAACAGAAAUUAUAUAUUUAAAGCAUUUGUAAUAAUAUCAAAUAUCUUUAUAAAAUUAAAAAAUAUCUGCACGGACAUGCGGGUUAAAAUCUAGUGUUGCUUUAAAUGAAGUUUGUUAACAAUACUAUUAAGAAAAAAACAAUAUUUAUCUACUUGCAAGUAGUCUAUAUUAUACCAAUUCAUUUAAUAGUAACUAGCAUUCCUAUAUUUUUGAAUGUACCAUAUAUUAACUAUUAUUAAAUAUGCACUUAAUCUUUAAGACAUUAUUUAGUUUUUUCUUACAUCCCUAACACAUUAUUUAGUCAAUUGAAGCAAGUACAAUAUUUAAAUGAAUCCUAGCACAUAAUUAUACAAAAAUACGAAAUCAUAAUUGGGGUUUACCAAAUAUGACUCAAAACUUGAUUUUGAUUGCAAAAUCUAACUUCAUUGUAUACAACAUAUUAAUAG
rnacentral:lncRNA from 1 species